GGAUUAAGUUAGUUCUACAGUGCAUAGUCGUGGAUGAAAAUGAGUCGGGUUCUGCAUGUUCGCAAUCCUCUGCUCGCUCUCUCUGCUUCGAACGCUAAACUACCAGUGUCGUCCUUUUUCCAAGCCUAUUCAUACACUCGGAAACGAAUGAGUUGUGAUAUGCGUAAGGAUCAAACUGGAGUCUUUUCAUUUGCAACAUUUUGCACUACAAACAAAGAUCUGUCAAAUAAGAAGUGUGUGCCAUGCAAUACAAAGGAUUUGCGACCCAUGGCUGAGGACGCAGCAUGCGCUCUGAUUCCAGAGGAUUGGAGUUUGGUGAAAGAGGAUGGUGCAUUGAAGCUGAGGAGAUCAUGGAAAGUAAAGACUUUUACCAAAGGAUUGGAAUUUUUCAGGAUAAUAGCUGAUCUUGCUGAAGCUGAAGGUCAUCAUCCUGAUCUUCACCUUGUUGGUUGGAAUAAUGUUACAAUUGAGAUUUGGACUCAUUCAGUAGUUGAUGGAUGUCUGUGAAUCUUGUCCAAGGAGAAUGGUUAAAUCAACAUCCAAUUCUAUGUUAUGCCUGUGUGUCAUGGAAUGGUAGCGUAUCAGUGGCAGUGCAGAAAAGUGAGGGAGUUUUCAUUGGGACUGUAAAAGCCUUUGUUUGCAGCAGUGCCUUACAAGAAAUCCCGCCCCACUCUUUUUGGGUGGGCUGACAGAGAAUGACUUCAUACUUGCUGCUAAGAUCAAUGGGCUUAAUUUGCAUGAGUUACUAAGACGGAAAGCUUCUGACUGAAUUAUCAAAGAGGCAGUUGAAGAGAUCCAAGUUGCUAGUAAUGUUUUUCUUCUUUUUUAUAGCAAGUGCUGGCAAGAUUUGUGGUACAUUUAUGUUGUUUUUUCACCAAGGUAAGGAUGGAAAAAGUUUCUUGUGUUUAUAUUUUCACCUUUACGUAAGUGGAAGACAUUUAUGUGUAGUAUCCCACUGCUCGCCAGUUUUAGCACCAGCAAAUUGAUAGAGAACCAAGGAUUUGUUUGGGUAAUUCUGCUAUGCACCUUAAUGAUUGAUUUAUCCAUGUUCCAUUGCAUUUUAGUCCUUCAAAUAUGUUUUUUUAGCCUCUUGCUUUUGAUUUUCGUAUUUUUAGUACAUUAUUCACCCUUCUUUCCUUCCUCUUAUCUAUCUAUCUAUCUGACACCGCAGUGUCUAAUACAACAUCCCUUUCCUCUAAACAAAGAAGAUAAAACCCUCCACCAACUCCUCAUAAUCUUUCUCAGCAGUAGCUGCUACUUCUAAUAUCAUCUUCGAUUUGAAGGAUGGUAUGUCUCAACCACAUCCAGGUUGGACUGGAAACUGGUGUAUCUCCUUUCAAUGUCAUAAUUGGAGAAACAAAUGGUACCCAGUGUGAUGAACUUAAUGCAAAGGAUCAUUCGAUUGUUAAUUUACUUCACAUAAUCAUUAAUUUUAUCACAAAAUUUUUGUUUAAAUCCUUAGAAUAAAUAACAAAAUUGGUUGAAGUUGCAUGCCCAUGCCAAUAUGUGGCCCCGUGGAGCCAUAUUAUUGCCAGCAUCUUUAUCCCAGCCGAAAUCUGUAAAGGAAAGAUGUUACCUCUGCUAGUGGGGGUUAUGGUAACAUCACCAAGCACAUAUUCCCUUCACAACUGACCAAUAAAAUAUAUUAAAAUUAAAAUACAUCUUAAUGGGAUGCUGCCAUAAUUGUUUUUAUGCAUUAUUUGAUUAAUCUUUAGAUCUCUUUAACUUUUUCAAAACUAUAUAUACAGUUAGUGUGCACAUUUUUUUCUAUACCAUCUUAAGAGAGAAGAAAUAUUAUUUUCUACACCAUCUUAAGAGAAGAAAUUAUGGCAAACUCUCAAGUUCAGAAGGUGGAAACUAAAGUGCAUAUCAAGGCUUCUGCUGAGAAGUUCUAUGAUGUUAUGUGCAACAGAACACACCACAUUGCCAAAAUUUGUCCUGAAAAAGUACAGGCUGUUAAAAUCCAUAAAGGUGAAUGGGGUGACGAAGGAUCUAUCGUCUCCUGGAAUUAUUUACUUGGUAUGGCAACUUCGACUUCAUUAUUUUAUCAACAAACAGCUAGGUUCCGCUUGCAUGUAUUGCACUUUUGCAAAUUAUUUUACAUCCAUGAUACAUAUACUUUUAUCUUACAUUAAACAUAUUUAAUAUUUUUAAACCUUUUGCAAAAU